rnacentral:sRNA from 1 species
GUGUCUGGCCUUCGCAAGAGACCCAGCAAGCAGAAAACGCUUACGGGUUCUUAGGAACUGUAAGCUUGACUUGAAGAUUCGGAGCUGGGAAAGUCUUUCCUGUUUAACACCUUCAGAGGGGGUGCACGCCAGGAUGGGUCUGGGUGGUGCUUGGGGACAGAGGCACCUUCCCGACACCCGCCUGCCCCUCCAGCUUCUACUCCUACAAGAGCUUUGAGACAGCCGUGGCCCCCAACGUGGCCCUCGCACCGCCGGCCCAGCAGAAGGUUGUGAGCAGCCCUCCGUGUGCCGCCGCCGUCUCCCGGGCCCCCGAGCCUCUCGCCACUUGCACCCAGCCUCGGAAGCGGAAGCUGACUGUGGACACCCCAGGAGCCCCAGAGACGCUGGCGCCCGUGGCUGCCCCGGAGGAGGACAAGGACUCGGAGGCGGAGGUGGAAGUUGAAAGCAGGGAGGAAUGUACGUUCACCUCCUCCUUGUCCUCGCUCUCUUCCCCGUCCUUUACCUCAUCCAGCUCCGCCAAGGACCUGGGCUCCCCGGG